rnacentral:rRNA from 1 species
CUAUCGGGUAAAGUCAUCGAUUAGAGGCAUCGGGAUGCAAUUUCCUAUUCCAUUCUCAAACUUUUAAAUAGGUAGGACGGGGUGGCUGCUUUGUUGAGCCAUCCCACGGAAUCGAGCUCCAAGUGGGCCAUUUUGGUAAGCAAGAACUGGCCAUGCGGGAUGAACUGAAAGCCGGUUACGGUGCCCAACUGCUCGCUAACCUAGAACCCAACAAAGGGUGUUUGUCGAUUAAGACAGCAGGACGGUGGUCAUGGAAGUCUAAAUCGCUUAAGGAGUGUGUGUAACAACUCACUCCAGUCGAAUCAACUAGCCCCGAAAUGGAUGUAUUUUGAAGCUGCCGACCUAUACCUCGGGCCGGGCCGGCAAAGAGCCAGGCCCCCGAUGAGAAGGAGGGCUGGCUGUCGCGCAAAACCUAGGGCGGAGUCCGGUGGAGCAGCCGUCGGUGCAGAUCUUUGGUGGUAGUAGCAAUAUUCAAAUGAGAACCUUGAAUAAGAGGGGAAAGGUUCUAUGUGAACGCACUUGCACAUGGGUUAGUCGAUCCUAAGAGUCGAGGGAAACUCGUCCGAGAUGGCGCGCCAACUUCGGGAAGGGGAUUAUUAAAAUUCCAGAACCGACGUGGUGGUUGACGGCUACUUUAGGGAAGUCCGUAGACGGCAUGGAAUUCGAAAGAGUUAUCUUUCUUGUUUAACAGCCUGCUCCACCAUGGAAAGGGUCUCAGCCGAGGUAUCCAGCUGGCUGGAAGAGCACCACGACGCUGCUGGUUGUCUUGUGUAUUCUCGCUGCCUUUGAAAAAACUGAGGAUCGAGUACGCCACGCCACCGGUCGACUCAUAACCGCAUCAGGUCUCUAAGGUGAACAGCCUCUGGUCGGAUUGAACAAUGUAGGCAAGAGUUUCGGUAAAAUGGAUCCAGAAUUCGGGAAAGAAUUGGCUCAGGGGGUGGGGUCCCAGUUCAACACGCCGACCGUUGGUGGGCUGUUUGAGCUGCUAACGGCGAGGAGAUGACCGCCACGUUGUCGGCCGAGGGAUGGACUGGGAACGGCUCUUUCGAGAUCUUUCCCAAAGGCCGAACAGCCAACCCAGAACUGGUACGACAAGGGUAAUCCGGAUUGUUUAAUAAAAACAAAGCAUUGUGAUGGUUCCCCGCGAUGCUAACGCAACCGAUUUCUGCCCAAAGGUUCGAAUAAAAGCCGAACGGCGGAGUAACUAUGAAUCUCUUUAAGGUAGCUAAAAAUGGUUCGGCCAUUAAUUAGUGACGCAUUAUGAAUGGACUAACAAUUCAUAAUCGGUCCUUUGUCUACUAUCCAACAAAACCACAGCCAAGGAAACUGGGCUUGGCAGAAUCAGCGGGAAAGAAGACCUGUUGAGCUCGACUCUAGUCCCGACUUUUGUGAAAUGACUUGAGAAGUGUAGAAUAAGUGGGAGUCUCCGAUGGCGAAUGAAAUACCACUACUUUUAACUAUUUUACUUAAUCUCGCGGAAUCGAGGUGGGAUAACAACCCUUUUUUAGACCCCAAGACUCGCUUUGGCGGUCAAUCCGGGCGGAGGACAUUGUCAGGCGGGGAGUUUGGCUGGGGCGGUACAUCUGUUAAAAGAUAACGCAGGUGUCCUAAGAUGAGCUUCAACGAGAACAGAAAUCUCGUGGAACAAAAGGUAAAAGCUCGCUUGAUUCUCAUUUUCAGUACUUAAUAAUAACCGUGGAAAUCAUGGCCUAUCGAUCCUUUUAGACCUUUGCAGCCAAGCCGCUCAUAGCGACGUUGCUUUUGAUCCUUCAAUAUCGCUCUUCCUAUCAUUGUGAAGCAGAAUACACCAAGCGUUGGAUUGUUCACCCACCAAUAGGAAACGUGAGCUGGGUUUAGACCGCCGGAGACACGUUAGUUUCGCCCUACUGAUGCCCGGGCCGCAAUAGUAAUUCAACCUAGUACAAGAGGAACCGCUGAUUCGCACAAUUGGUCAUCGACUUGGUUUAAAAGCCGCUGGCGCGAUGUUAUCAGCGCUGGAUUAUGACUGAACGCUUCACGCCAGAAUCUCGGGCUAGAAGUAACGAUGCGCCCGGCCACGGAUCAUUUAACCCUCAGUAGGGAGCUUGCCCCAAAGGCACGGUCGUCGUUGGUUCGUUCGGGCGGAAGCGCCGCUCGGACCGCCUUUUGAAUUAUAAUUACCACCGAAGCCGCGGGUAGAAUCCAUUGCAGACGACUUAAAUACGCCGACGGGUAUUGUAAUAGGCAGAGUCGCCUUGCUGCCACAAUCCAAUGGAGAUUCCAGCCUUUGGCAAUCAAGAUUCUGACCUCCUUCCU